AGAGUUUGAUCCUGGCUCAGGACGAACGCUGGCGGCGUGCUUAACACAUGCAAGUCGAACGGAAAGGCCCUUCGGGGUACUCGAGUGGCGAACGGGUGAGUAACACGUGGGUGAUCUGCCCUGCACUCUGGGAUAAGCCUGGGAAACUGGAUCUAAUACCGGAUAGGACCACACACUUCAUGGUGAGUGGUGCAAAGCUUUUGCGGUGUGGGAUGAGCCCGCGGCCUAUCAGCUUGUUGGUGGGGUAAUGGCCCACCAAGGCGACGACGGGUAGCCGGCCUGAGAGGGUGACCGGCCACACUGGGACUGAGAUACGGCCCAGACUCCUACGGGAGGCAGCAGUGGGGAAUAUUGCACAAUGGGCGCAAGCCUGAUGCAGCGACGCCGCGUGAGGGAUGACGGCCUUCGGGUUGUAAACCUCUUUCAGUAGGGACGAAGCGAAAGUGACGGUACCUACAGAAGAAGGACCGGCCAACUACGUGCCAGCAGCCGCGGUAAUACGUAGGGUCCGAGCGUUGUCCGGAAUUACUGGGCGUAAAGAGCUCGUAGGUGGUUUGUCGCGUUGUUCGUGAAAACUCACAGCUUAACUGUGGGCGUGCGGGCGAUACGGGCAGACUAGAGUACUGCAGGGGAGACUGGAAUUCCUGGUGUAGCGGUGGAAUGCGCAGAUAUCAGGAGGAACACCGGUGGCGAAGGCGGGUCUCUGGGCAGUAACUGACGCUGAGGAGCGAAAGCGUGGGUAGCGAACAGGAUUAGAUACCCUGGUAGUCCAA
rnacentral:rRNA from 1 species